CAGAUAAUUCCUUCGCUUUGAGACUGGCCUACAAGAUCAAUGACGUGAGCUUUCCAGAGAAUGUAGAACUCAGGACGGAGACGCAAGCGCGCAUUCAGGACUCGGUCAACAAGCUGAUGAACGGAUUGCUGAUCCAACCUAAUGCAAGGCCUUUCACCUUCCCACAAGCAAAUUUCACCCACCUGCCCAAUGAGAUUCGUGCGAAUGUGGAGUAUGUCUAUCAGGAAGGUGACAUCAACCAACCAAGCAACUUCCUGGCUGCGAU